rnacentral:rRNA from 1 species
GAUGAACGCUGGCGGCGUGCCUAAUACAUGCAAGUCGAGCGAACGGACGAGAAGCUUGCUUUUCUGAUGUUAGCGGCGGACGGGUGAGUAACACGUGGAUAACCUACCUAUAAGACUGGGAUAACUUCGGGAAACCGGAGCUAAUACCGGAUAAUAUUUUGAACCGCAUGGUUCAAAAGUGAAAGACGGUCUUGCUGUCACUUAUAGAUGGAUCCGCGCUGCAUUAGCUAGUUGGUAAGGUAACGGCUUACCAAGGCAACGAUGCAUAGCCGACCUGAGAGGGUGAUCGGCCACACUGGAACUGAGACACGGUCCAGGCUCCUACGGGAGUCAGCAGUAGGGAAUCUUCCGCAAUGGGCGAAAGCCUGACGGAGCAACGCCGCGUGAGUGAUGAAGGUCUUCGGAUCGUAAAACUCUGUUAUUAGGGAAGAACAUAUGUGUAAGUAACUGUGCACAUCUUGACGGUACCUAAUCAGAAAGCCACGGCUAACUACGUG